AUUGAACGCUGGCGGCAUGCCUUACACAUGCAAGUCGAACGGCAGCACGGGAGCAAUCCUGGUGGCGAGUGGCGAACGGGUGAGUAAUACAUCGGAACGUGCCCAGUUGUGGGGGAUAGCCCGGCGAAAGCCGGAUUAAUACCGCAUACGACCUACGGGUGAAAGCGGGGGAUCGCAAGACCUCGCGCCAUUGGAGCGGCCGAUGGCAGAUUAGCUUGUUGGUGGGGUAAAAGCCCACCAAGGCGACGAUCUGUAGCUGGUCUGAGAGGACGACCAGCCACACUGGGACUGAGACACGGCCCAGACUCCUACGGGAGGCAGCAGUGGGGAAUUUUGGACAAUGGGCGCAAGCCUGAUCCAGCCAUGCCGCGUGUGGGAAGAAGGCCUUCGGGUUGUAAACCACUUUUGUCAGGGAAGAAACGGUCUGAUCUAAUAAAUCGGACUAAUGACGGUACCUGAAGAAUAAGCACCGGCUAACUACGUGCCAGCAGCCGCCGUAACAC
rnacentral:rRNA from 1 species